rnacentral:rRNA from 1 species
CACGGGGGGAGCAAGCGUUGUUCGGAAUCACUGGGCGUAAAGGGCGUGUAGGCGGUCAGGUAAGUGGGAUGUGAAAUGCCUCGGCUCACCCGAGGCACUGCAUUCCAAACUGCUUGGCUUGAGUAUGGGAGAGGAUGAGGGAAUUCCUGGUGUAGCGGUGAAAUGCGUAGAUAUCAGGAGGAACACCGGUGGCGAAGGCGGCUAUCUGGACAGAGUCUGACGCUGAGGCGCGAAAGCUAGGGGAGCAAACAGG